AUUGAACGCUGGCGGCAGGCCUAACACAUGCAAGUCGAGCGGAUGACGGGAGCUUGCUCCUUGAUUCAGCGGCGGACGGGUGAGUAAUGCCUAGGAAUCUGCCUGGUAGUGGGGGACAACGUUUCGAAAGGAACGCUAAUACCGCAUACGUCCUACGGGAGAAAGCAGGGGACCUUCGGGCCUUGCGCUAUCAGAUGAGCCUAGGUCGGAUUAGCUAGUUGGUGGGGUAAUGGCUCACCAAGGCGACGAUCCGUAACUGGUCUGAGAGGAUGAUCAGUCACACUGGAACUGAGACACGGUCCAGACUCCUACGGGAGGCAGCAGUGGGGAAUAUUGGACAAUGGGCGAAAGCCUGAUCCAGCCGUGCCGCGUGUGUGAAGAAGGUCUUCGGAUUGUAAAGCACUUUAAGUUGGGAGGAAGGGCAGUAAGUUAAUACCUUGCUGUUUUGACGUUACCGACAGAAUAAGCACCGGCUAACUCUGUGCCAGCAGCCGCGGUAA
rnacentral:rRNA from 1 species